ensembl:lncRNA
GCUUUUGUUUGGGCACUCGUCGGCAAAAAUGUGACUAUUUCCCAAUCUGUCAUUUUAACAUGAGCAGAGGUUCGGGGCUCGUAAAAAGAUUCCACUCUCCCUCACAUUGAUCCCUACCUGCGCCUUACCAGCAUUUACCAGCUCAAGAGGCUUUAAUUCUGAGAGAUUAAUGUAUCAUUUCCACUGCUGUAGGGAUUUAGUUUGAAGGUCUCUUUUGAUCCACCCUCAUCAGAUACCUGUCAAAUACCCAGAAACAAUGGUCUACCAAGUAAAGAAAAGCAGAAUGCCACAAACUACCAAUGAAAAACUACCACCAUUUUACAGAUUAUUUCUUCAUUCAUUUCAGCAAUCACACUUAGGUUCUUUUUGUUUGCUGUACAAGCUCGUAUAUAUGAUUUCCUCCACCAGCUUAGUGGAGCUGAGUUGCUAUAGCAACACACGCCUAACGAGAUUUCUAUGAAGGAGUGCUACGGCAGGAAUUCAAUAAGAUGCGUAUAAAUGCAAACAUCUUUGGAGAUGGUAAAGGAGGUUGCCCAAAGUUUCUGUAAAACCCGUGGCACGCAGCAACUAUUUGUCUCUAAGACAAAACACACUGCAUUCCAUUAUGUGUCAUUCUAAGUCAACAAAGGUAAGCGUGCUAAUUAUACUGCGAGUUUGUCCAUUAUUUAGAAGAAAAUUUCUUCACACAUGACAAUGCUGUUGCACGCAGCUCAAUGUAAAGGAACGUUAUCUGUUAGAUAACGCUAGAUUGUUUCCUUUCCCGCAGGUAAAGAGUUUGAGUCAUUGCCACAGGUACAUUUAUACUGAGGAUGACAACAAAACUUCAAGUAAAGAUCAAGGCCACAAAAUAUUCCCACGCCCAGGAAUGGAGAGAAGAAAAUAGAAAAGGAAAUCUGUAAGGUUAACACAGUAAGAUACUUUAUAAUCGUAAUAGCUCCUGUUUGUCAAAGGCCGCUCUUAACGGCAACAAUCAAUCAAUUCUUGAAUCGUUUCUAGAAAAAAAUUUGUCCUGGCAAAACAAAUUAUAUUAUAAAAGUCUAUGAGGUUGUUGUGAAAUAACUAUUUGUAGUUUUAACCAUAAUUAUUGUGAUUUUUUCCCUUAACAUUGUAUAUAUAGAGAGGAGGUUGGGGUAGCUGAAUGGGUCCGUAACUUAACUAAAUAAAAACAUUUUAAGCGCAAUGAUCUUUCAGUCAACCUAAACAAUUAGUUUUCUUCCUAGGCAUUAUGGUAGAAUGAGUGUUACUCAACACUGGUGUAAAAUCAUCAAAACAAGAUAUUUAAUGUAUGCAAACAUGGAACAGAGUUGACACACAUACAAAUCAUGCAUCAAGGAUACACAAAGGUUUUCAUCUUUUGGAGCAGGAAUAUAUAGUGUAAAGUGCUGGUAGUAGACGAUCAUCUUCAUCACGACAAGAUUAUAAGUAUUGAUCCAGCAUUGAGCCACGAAACGAGUCGAGAGCUGCCGGCCUCCGGUGUCGAGCCAUGGGACUCACACCGUUUUUUUGUCUUUUGGGGCAACAAAUCAAUUUGGUAGAGGAGCUGAAUAAACUGACGAUCGGGGUGGACCAUCGGAUGCGGGAGACAUGGCAGGAGCGGAAUUACAUAUCCCAGGGGGCGCCGCCCGUGACGCCAUCUUCCUCCAUCCUCCGCCCUAAAACCCCCGCUUCAGGGCACGCGUCCUCUUCUCUCAAGUUGGCCCCCCCUCUUCCACUUCGGGGGUGGAGCCCAUGCAGCUUGGUCACGCUCAUCUCUCGUCCCGAGAGAGGAAAGGGCGGUGAUGAGCCGGUGAGUGCUUGUACUGUAGCCGAUUGGGCGAACUGGGCAGGAGGAAACAAUGUGCCAAACAGAAGCUCGCCAGUAGCCGUUGGGAAACUGGUGAGCGAACCUUCGUCUUCUCCCAACCCCUUUGUCAUGAUCCGAGGUCCUCGUCCUUUUUACC